rnacentral:rRNA from 1 species
CGGGCCGCUGCAGCAGUGAGGAAUAUUGCACAAUGGGGGGAACCCUGAUGCAGCAACGCCGCGUGGAGGAUGACGCAUUUCGGUGUGUAAACUCCUUUUAUAUGUCAAGAAAAUGACGGUAGCAUAUGAAUAAGCACCGGCUAACUCCGUGCCAGCAGCCGCGGUAAUACGGAGGGUGCAAGCGUUACUCGGAAUCACUGGGCGUAAAGGACGCGUAGGCGGGUUGGAAAGUCAGGUGUGAAAUCCUGCAGCUUAACUGUAGAACUGCACUUGAAACUUCUAAUCUAGAGUAUGGGAGGGGGAGAUGGAAUUAGUGGUGUAUGGGUAAAAUCCGUAGAUAUCACUAGGAAUACCUAAAGCGAAGGCGAUCUCCUGGAACAUUACUGACGCUAAGGCGUGAAAGCGUGGGGAGCAAACAGGAUUAGAUACCCCUGUAGUC